rnacentral:rRNA from 1 species
UACGAAGGGUGCAAACGUUGCUCGGAAUUAUUGGGCGUAAAGCGCACGUAGGCGGCUUGGCAAGUCGGAUGUGAAAUCCCUCGGCUCAACCAAGGAAGUGCAUCCGAAACUGCUGAGCUUGAGUACUUAAGAGGAUCGCGGAAUUCCCGGUGUAGAGGUGAAAUUCGUAGAUAUUAGGAAGAACACCAGUGGCGAAGGCGGCUCACUGGUCCGGUACUGACGCUGAGGUGCGAAAGCGUGGGGAGCAAACAGG